rnacentral:lncRNA from 10 species
AGGUGACCCGGCCCCGGGCUCUGGCCGGGACCUGCGGGGGGUGCUCUCCGCCCUCCAGCCCCCGGCGCAUCUCCCCGGCCCGCGCGUCCCGGCUGUUCGUGGCUUGCUUUUAGUCUCCAGGGAUCGUGGGACCCUUCUCCGCGGAUCUGUUUCAUCCUCUUAACCUGAAGUUAGUGGAAGCCCCCCACGCUCUGACCCCUGGGUUUAGGACGGAUGAGAUCCCAGAUACUGUUUAUUUCUGAUUAACUUCCAAAGUCGUUUGUGGUAGUGGCGAGUGUUUCAAAGUCACGGAUCCAAGCCCCUUCUGACCAGAAUCUAAAAGGUUGUUUUCCAAAAUCAUUGAACAGAAAGUAAAGUAGAAUGUGCUCACGUUCUCCGGACUGAACCAAUUGGUUGAAGUGACUGUUUUCUAGCACUCAUUGGGUGGCAAGGCAAGACUACCACCGUUCAGUGUUGUUCUGCUCAGGAGUUAGAAAGGAGAAACCUACAGCCUGAACUGACAGGCGAGAUUGCGCAUGGGAACGCCUUCAAAAUAGUGUGUGAGAAGCCACGGGGUACAGGCUCACUGCCCCAGGUCCCCGACAGCUUCUCUCCCUAUCCCAGCCCACUAAGGCCCGACCUUUCAAUUACGAUGGACUCCACCAUUAAUUCCAAGGAUUUCAAAGCUCUCUAUCUACCCACUCAUCUAAUUUGGGCUGGCUUUUCCAUGCAUUCUAGUCAUGCUAACCAGCUGUGACUUCAGUUCUGUUCACCUAAGCUCCUCCCUUCUCCUCGUUAGCUCUGCCUCCUUUGCUCAGGGAAGAAAGCUUUCUAGAAUAAAUAACGUAUUGAGUUCUUUCUGGGAUCUACUGUAAGUCAAUUGAACUUAAGAGGGAAAAAAGGUCGAUUCCAACAAAAUUGAAAUUCACCCUAACAGCUCAGUUUAUAACGUGUCAGCUACAUACUAAUAUUUAUAUGGCAGAUAUUACCUGUUCCCUCCCCCCGCCCCAUCCCCCUUUCCUUCCUCCCUCUCCCUACUAGGGAAGAGCCUAUCUCCCCUUUAACAGUUGAACUUGACAAACAAGCAUCAAAAGCCUUGUAACUAGGUGCAGGGUCUUCACUUCCUACAGCAAAAGUUCCUUAGCCAAGUGAGGAACAGCUAAAGCAAGAUGUACACUCCUCUUCCUGUCCUUUAUCCCUCUCAAACAAAGUCACACUGUAAAAGAAACAUGAACUGACCAACAUUCUUUUGGUUUAAUGCUGGCAAUUUCUACAAUAGUGUUUCAUCGUGAUUCUUGUUAAUGACAUAUUGUAGGGUAUUUAAGGGGAACAUUACUGCCUGUGAGUUUUCUGCUCUAUUUUUGCAGGUCAGUCUGGUUCAAGUAGGGGCAGCUGGGAGGAUGGGAUUUGGAGCAUGGUACAGGUAGAUGAUGCUGUCUUGGAAAUUUGACAUGUGUGUAUUCUGUAGGAACAGUUGACAUUUUGAAGGAGUUAAAAUAUUAGACAACAUUAAACAAUGAUUGUCUAAGGCAGGCACAUCUGACUUUGAUUCACAGAGGUCCUGUCCCUCUUCUUUUUUCUCUGUCCCAGCCACCUCCAAAGAGCCUACCAGCCUAUCACCUCUUAGAUUCCCAUAGGUGGUUUGUAUAUGAUUCUCCUUAGUUUACACUCCCACCCUCUAAAGUCAGCAAGUCUAACUCUGGAUGAGGGAUCGUUGUGAAAGUAUUCUUAUUUUUUUGGGCUGUGCCAAGAUCCUUUUCCAGAUCCCCACUUUUGAAACUCAAAGCAACUUUGUAGUCUGUAGACUGAGCAUGGCAGCUAAGUUCUGCCAACUGCAGGGGGAUUAGUGGGGAAGUAAGAGGUUCAAUAGCAUCUUCUUAUUGGUUGUGUUGCCCAGGC